GCCAAGUCCCAGAACUGCAUGAAUUACCUGGAGCUUUACAGGAAACAAAACUGAUGUCAAAAUACCUUCAUCCUGGAAUUCCUUUCUGAUUGCAGGAGAAGUGACAGAGGCAAGACUAGAACCUCUUCCCAACAUUCUCAGUCAAGUGACCCUGCUGCUAAACCAAAGAAAUAGAUAUGUCAAGUAAAUCCAUUUGAAACUAUUCUAUAACCCACUGAUUUCAUCAGAGUUAUACUAGAUGGACACAGAGAAAGAGGUGACACCUGCUCCAAUUCCCUGAAGGGAGGGAGAGAUGGAUGAGUUGGCUGGCUUGCCCAAGAAGGUCUCAGACAGGCAAUAAUCACAGCAGGUUGAGCCAACUGAGCCC